rnacentral:rRNA from 1 species
AUGCUUCUCCUAAAGACUAAGCCAUGCAUGCCUUCGAAUAAGUGGAAGCAAUUCUCUCUGAAUCUGCGAACGGCUCCGCAAACCAGUUGUAAACUAUAGCAAGCAAGCCCCAGGGUCUGCCUUCACGGGUGGGCUCUGGGCAAUACGGAUAACCCUGGUAAUUCUGAGGCUAAUACGAUAACGUAAUCCCUGGUUGACCGGCUUCGGCUGGAAGGCUGGGAAAUGUGUGACUAUUCGCGAGGAAGCACCGGGAAAGGACGCACAUUUAGACCGCGAUAAAAAUGGAUGUUGCUUGAUGCCCCUCACGGGGAGGAAGGCUUCGCCCAAGCGGCUCUUGCGGUGUGCUUCUGACCUAUCAACUAGACGGCAGCGCAACGGACAUGCUAUGGUUACAACGGGUACAGAGGAUUAGGGUUCGAUCCUGGAGAGUGGGCCUGAGAGAUUGCUCAUACUUCUAAGGAAGGCAGCAGGCGCGCAACGUUCCCCUUGGGCAAUGCCCGAGGGCGUUAGGGGACAUAUGAAUGCCUGCCCAAUGGGUGGGCAAUUCAAAUGGGUCUGUUGUAAACAGGCUC